UACGGAGGGUGCAAGCGUUAAUCGGAAUUACUGGGCGUAAAGCGUGCGUAGGUGGUUCGUUAAGUCUGAUGUGAAAGCCCUGGGCUCAACCUGGGAAUGGCAUUGGAAACUGGCGACCUAGAGUGCGGUAGAGGGUAGUGGAAUUCCCGGUGUAGCAGUGAAAUGCGUAGAGAUCGGGAGGAACAUCUGUGGCGAAGGCGACUGCCUGGACCAGCACUGACACUGAGGCACGAAAGCGUGGGGAGCAAACAGG
rnacentral:rRNA from 1 species